AGUAUCUUCGAUAUAUCGCGAAUGUAGCUUCCUGUUCGUUCGAGGCGCUGUUUCACGUUUCACGGUCGUAGGACCUCGGAAGAGUCGGCAAGACGUAUCAGCAGAAGCAGUGGAGGAGGAGGAGACGGAUCACUGGUCGCAACCAUGGCGAUGAACGUGCCGUACGAGGCGAUCGGCAAGGGCUUCGUCCAGCAAUAUUACGCGCUCUUCGACGACCCGGCGCAGAGACCGAACCUUAUAAACAUGUACAACACGGAGACGUCCUUUAUGACGUUCGAGGGCCUGCAGAUACAGGGCGCCAUCAAAAUUAUGGAGAAGUUAACUAGUUUAUCGUUUCAAAAAAUAAAUCGGAUAAUAACAGCGAUUGAUUCACAACCCAUGUUCGAUGGUGGAGUUCUCAUUAAUGUAUUAGGAAGGUUGCAGACUGAUGAAGAUCAGCCUCACGCCUACAUCCAGACAUUUGUCCUGAAGCCGAUUGGUACCAGCUUUUAUGUGCAGCACGACAUCUUCAGACUUGCAUUACAUGACACGGUUUAGGCAUCAGGUAUCGCAAAAUCCCUUCCGUUGAUCUGCAUAUCGCGCUGACAGGCAGAUGAGGACCCACCACAUGCCUUCUCACAAUGUUUUGUGUUGAAGCCGAUGGGAAAUUCAUACUUUUGUCAGCACGAUAUCUUUCGCCUUGGCAUUCAUGAUUCGGCAUGAACGAGAAUGAUCGGGCUGGUUUCCGCGACAAGUGUGUGAUCGACAGACGGGUUGCCGAGCGACGGAGACCCUGGAGAUCGCGAGCUAAUAAGUGAGCCACCUAAUCUCAUCGAUAAUCCUUUCUCAUCACGAUCACAUACCUAUCCCCAUUCUUUCUAGAUAAUAUCACGAGUUUUAUAUGAAGAAUAUCUUUCCGCAUAUAUCUUGGCCACAAAAAACCAGAAAAGAAAAAAAAUCGGGAAACAUUCAAUUUAAAUAAUAGUUGCGUCGCUUUUCUUCAUACAUAUAAUAUGUUGUGUUUCGAAAAACAAAUUUAUAUUUCUUAGUUAUACGUACUAGCACAACACGCAUACAUACAACACAUAUACAUAUACACACAUAAAUGUCUCAUUGAUCGGGAGAGUUUGAUUUUUGACGGCAGG